UGAAUAUAAACAAAGUUUAUGAGAAAUGAGGUAUUGACGUAUAUCGGGUUUCAAAUCUCUUAGAAACAUUCGCGUCAUUCGCUCAUCAUUAUCGACCAAAUGGGAUGUAAACCGGGAUAACUUCACAAAUUUAGCCUCGUAUUGCGACACGGUCAUAUUGUUUUGCUCCAACUUGAUAAACUCCACCUCCUUCAUGUGAUGAAUACUUUCGGGAAAG
rnacentral:lncRNA from 1 species